rnacentral:rRNA from 1 species
UACAGAGGUCUCAAGCGUUGUUCGGAUUCAUUGGGCGUAAAGGGUGCGUAGGUGGCGGGGUAAGUCAGGUGUGAAAUUUCGGAGCUUAACUCCGAAACUGCAUUUGAUACUGCCUUGCUUGAGGACUGGAGAGGAGACUGGAAUUCAUGGUGUAGCAGUGAAAUGCGUAGAUAUCGGGAGGAACACCAGUGGCGAAGGCGACUUCCUGGCCUGUUCUUGACGCUGAGGCGCGAAAGCUAGGGGAGCAAACGGG